UUACCUGUACCCAGUGCUCCACAGGUGAAGCAGGGAAAGCAGAAAAUCUAACUCCUCUUCUGGAAGUUUUCUUCUCUAAUGGAGUCCAGGGUCAUCCUUCCGAGCUGUCAGAAUGGAGGAAAUACAUCUAUUUCCCAAGGUAUAAGCUGAUACCCUGAGAUCUACAGCAUGCAGAGCAAUCCAGUGUGACAGGAGUUCUGCUGUGAUACAAUUAAAAUCCAUCAAAAGAUGC